GCCGACCUUUGUUUGUUUACACCGUCAAAUGUCAAAAAAGUGUCUCUCUAAGCUGCGAAGAUGUCGUCAAAACGAAGUGACAUUGAACGUCAAGAGUUGGGAGAGCCAUCAAGAUUUGUUCCUGGGGUAUCUGGUGUGCAAAUCAUUACAAAGGAAAUUUCUGAAGCCAGGACAGAUGUUCCUGAAACUAGCCUUGCAGAUAGAAAACGGCCUGGAAGACUUCGGAAAAAGCUGAGCACCCGUCCCACUACCCGAUUUGAUGAGGUCCAGUGUU